CCUGGCUCAGAUUGAACGCUGGCGGCAGGCCUAACACAUGCAAGUCGAGCGGCAGCGGAAAGUAGCUUGCUACUUUGCCGGCGAGCGGCGGACGGGUGAGUAAUGUCUGGGAAACUGCCCGAUGGAGGGGGAUAACUACUGGAAACGGUNGCUAAUACCGCAUAACGUCUNCGGACCAAAGUGGGGGACCUUCGGGCCUCACACCAUCGGAUGUGCCCAGAUGGGAUUAGCUAGUAGGUGGGGUAACGGCUCACCUAGGCGACGAUCCCUA
rnacentral:rRNA from 1 species